rnacentral:misc_RNA from 1 species
GAUGAAGAACGUAGCGAAAUGCGAUAAGUAGUGUGAAUUGCAGAAUUCAGUGAAUCAUCGAAUCUUUGAACGCACAUUGCGCCCCUUGGUAUUCCAUGGGGCAUGCCUGUUCGAGCGUCAUUUGUACCCUCAAGCUUUGCUUGGUGUUGGGCGUCUUGUCUCCAGUCCGCUGGAGACUCGCCUUAAAGUCAUUGGCAGCCGGCCUACUGGUUUCGGAGCGCAGCACAAGUCGCACUCUUUUCCAGCCAAGGUCAGUGUCCAACAAGCCUUUUUUCAACUUUUGACCUCGGAUCAGGUAGGGAUACCCGCUGAACUUAAGCAUAUCAAUAAGCGGAGGA